AGUAGGGUCAGAAAUAGAACAAUGAAGCUGUCAAAGCUACUUCAUGAACAGAGACAUGCGCUGGACUGAUUAAAAAUAUCUAGGGGAAACUGGCUGGCACUCGACAGCAGUAAAAUCAGGAAUAGGAUUGGGAAGACAUUUAGAAAAGCAAGGAGAGGAACUGUGAAGAAAACAGACAAUAUGCGCACCUCCCUGAACAUUUUCAAACCAAAGGUUAUGUAAAUCAGACACACAGGAACUGAAUCAAGUAAAAGACUUUUAAUUACUCCCUUGGUGUCUACAGAAGUGCUCACACUGAUUGGAUCCCAUCAUUCACCGAUUCUGGCGAGGUAGAGCUGGAGAAGUGUGAUGCCCAGAUGAGCAGAACAGGGAAAGAGGCCCUUCACGAAUGUGAUCGUGUGAUGGAAGAACUUUCAAAGAUUAACAAUACCAUGAAG